CCGCAUGGUUCGAAAUUGAAAGGCGGCUUCGGCUGUCACUUAUGGAUGGACCCGCGUCGCAUUAGCUAGUUGGUGAGGUAACGGCUCACCAAGGCAACGAUGCGUAGCCGACCUGAGAGGGUGAUCGGCCACACUGGGACUGAGACACGGCCCAGACUCCUACGGGAGGCAGCAGUAGGGAAUCUUCCGCAAUGGACGAAAGUCUGACGGAGCAACGCCGCGUGAGUGAUGAAGGCUUUCGGGUCGUAAAACUCUGUUGUUAGGGAAGAACAAG
rnacentral:rRNA from 1 species